rnacentral:lncRNA from 1 species
UCUUCCUAAUUUCCAAAACUAAAAAUCAAAAAAUCAAAACCUCUAAAAUCUAUUUUAGAUUUUUAGUUUUAAAAACUCACAAAUAGAAAAUAGUUUUGAGAAAUAGUUUUAUAAAAUUAGACUACCAAACAAAUUUUAUAAUUUUUAAUUUUUUAUCUAUUUUAGAUUUUUAGUUUUAAAAACUCACAAAUAGAAAAUAGUUUUGAGAAAUAGUUUUAUAAAAUUAGACUACCAAACAAAUUUUAUAAUUUUUAAUUUUUAAAAACUAAAAA